UUCUAACCUUUUCUUUCAGACUAACACCUAUCAGUUGCACUUUCUCAAAAUAAAUAUAAUUCUGUGCAUGCUCGAGGAGUUCAGCAUAUGUUCGAGGAAGCAUCUUGUCCAGAAAAUAAGUGAACCUGAAACUAUGCAACCCCCUUUUCAUUACUGAGAUCACUGUAGAUUCAUUGAGGUCAUGGACCUCCAACAUGAUGACAUUGAAAUGUGCCAUAUAAUCUCUCAAUGAUUCUCCGUCUUGUUGUUUAACGGAGAAAAGACUAUCGGAUGUUUGUGGCAUCCUUCUGCUGGUGCUGAAGUGGACCACAAAAAGUAGCUCAAACUACUCGAAAGAUUGGAUGCUUUACGGCUGAAGUCCAGAAUACCAGGCUCGAGCAAUUUUUCGAAGAGUAACCAGAAAGGCAAUACAAAGAAGGGCAUCAAAUGUCCCUUCGAGUAGCAUGAGAGCCUUGUAGCUCUCAAGAUGGUCGAGU
rnacentral:lncRNA from 1 species